rnacentral:lncRNA from 1 species
CAAAUAUCAACGGAGCUCGAUCGUCAAUUUGGAAGUUCUAUCAUUGAAAACAAAUCGUAGUAAAACGGCUCGUUACUAACGCGAUAGUUUCUAGCUCAACUCUAUAUAUAUAUAUAUAUAUAUAUAUAUAUAUAUAUAUAUAUAUAUAUAUAUAGAGUCCGGCUACUAUACUAUUAUAGCACAAAACACUUGGUGCUAACCAAAUUUUCUGGCCAUUAGAUCUAUCCUUUUGAUCAUUUUCACCUAUUAGAUCAUACUAUUCAACCAACUGCCCACUCAACCUAGGGGCCCACAUUAUCCUAACCACACAUCUCUUAAUCAAUGGCCAAAAACUUGGUAGCACCAAUGACUUUGCAUUAAUACAUAGUAGCCUAGUUCUAUAUAUAUAUAUAUAUAUAUAUAUAUAUAUUAAGAGAGAGAGAGAGAGAGAGAGAGAGAGAGAGAGAGACGAGAGAGAGUUUGCUAGAAUACUAUCGGUAUAAACGGCUCAGUUUACUACCGAUUUGUUUUCGAUGAUAGAGCUUCCAAAUUGAUGAUCGGCACCGUUAAACAUGAUCUAACUAUUUAAACUAUUUGGAAAUUAAAUUCACACAUUUUCGAUAUUGUCUCUUGUCGAUCAAGUGAUAAGAAAAUGAAUGGCUGGAAAUGAAUAUCCUUUAAAAAGUGAUGAUACAAUUUUUAUAUUGAAUCUAGAGUCUAGAUCUUAUUUUAAAUAGUUUAAAGAAUUUUUAACAAAAUUUAGUUAAUUUGAACUCUUCUAUACCCGUUAAACGAGCAACGCACCAUAUCGCCGUUAAAAUUAUAGAUUUGUGACUCUUUGAUCGUUCAGUUAGUGAUGCCAAAAAACAUGAAAUUUGAUUUCUAGAUAAUUCAAUGGCCUAGAUCAUGUUCAACGGUGCCGAUCGUCGAUUUGGAAGCUCUAUCAUCAAAAACAAAUAAGUAGUAAACCGAACAGUUUACUACCGAAUUAGUAGCCCAGUCAAACUCUAUAUAUAUAUAAUAUAAAUAUAUAUAUAUAUAUAUACUAUCAUAUACUAUCGAAAUGUAAGUUCUAUAUACGAAGUAUAGCGAUUGAUUCUUCGAUUUUUUGACCCUUAGAUCAGAAUUAUACAGUCGGAAAGAUUGCAGUCCCCCCUAGGGUUGAGUAUACCCCUAGGGUUGGGUGUCCCCCAUAGGGUAAUCAGUAUAAAUUUAAAGGUUAAGAAGUGAGUACAAUUCUUGAUCAAAGAGUCAAAAAGUCAGAAGCACGCAGUUCCUCCUAUACUUUUUUGAUAGCAUAGUAUAUAUAUAUACAUAUAUAUAUAUAUAUAGAGAGAGAGAGAAGAGAGAGAGAGAAGAGAGAGAGAGAGCUCGGAAUCCUAUUGAUAGCAAAUGGUUCUUUUUGCUAUCAAGUUUUUAAACCCUUAGAUGAAAUUGUAGGGUUAGAAUGAUACUUAGUCCCUUAGGCUUCGUUUGGUUCAGGAAUUAGUAGGAACUAGUUAUACCGGGGAUAGGUACAAGUAUGGGUUUUUGUAAGGCAGAGUUUUUUUUUAUUUGGAUGAAAAUGUGAGUAUAAGCUGGAACUAGAUAAAUUGUGUUUGGAUAGUUAUUGGGAAUAAGAGAAAUUGUUGAUGUUUAUAAAUAGAAAAUAAUGAUAUUACCCCUAUAAUUGAAUUUAAAUUUUUAAAUUUAAACUUAUAAUUUUACAUGAAAAAUUUUAACUUUUAAAUUUUAAAAUUUGAAAUUAAAAUUUGAAAUUUAAAUAUUCAAAUUUAUAAAUUUUAAAUUUUAAAUUUUAAAUUUAAGACCAAAUUUAAAUUUGAAAUAUAUAAAAUAUCAAAUAUAAAAUUUAAAAAUUUAUAAUAACAAAUUAAAAUUUUAAACUUUAAAAUUUAUAAUAACAAUUUUAAAUUUUAAUUUUAAAAUUAUAAAAUUUAAAUUCUAAAUUUUAAAAUAAAACUCUCUCUCUCUCUUUCUGUCUCUCUCUACCUAGUGGGUACCCCUUACCGGAUUAUACCAGGUAUAACCCGGUAGGUAUAACCCGGUAAAGGGUGGAAACACUAGUUCCCACCAUUUAAAUUUCUUGUUUGGGUAUAAAGGGGGGGAUAACCCCCUUAUCCCCCUCUUUAUACCCGAUCCAAAUGGGGUGUUAGGGUUGAGUGGUCCUCGCAGGGUUGAGUGGUCUCCACUGAGUUAUAAUAUUUAAUCCAAUGGCUAGAAAUAAUUAAAGCAAUUGAUCCAAAGGUUAAAAACUUGAUAGGAAAAAAGGCCUUUUGCUAUCAAUAGUAUUCUAGCCCAACUAUAUAUAUAUAGAGAGCUAGGCUGCUAUACUAUCGGUAGCACGGACGCCUCCGUGCUACCAAGUUGUUUUCAAUGAUGCGGCUUCCAAAUCGACGAUCGGCUCCGUUAGACUUGAUCUACACUAUUGAAAGUAUUUGGAAACCAAAUUUCAUAAUUUUUCGAUAUCAUUUACCUAUCAAACAAGUAGUCUAAAAAUGAACGGCUGAAAAUAAAAAUCUCAUAAAAAAUGAUGAUAGAAGACUUGAAUUUAAGAUCAGAGGUGCUGAUCUUACUCUAAAUAGUAAAAAAAAAUUUCUAUAAAACUUUCAUCUGAUUUGGAUUGUUUCACACCGUUAAAUUUACAAAUGCAUCACAUCUACCAUUAAAAUUGUCAAUUUUGAGACCUUUUGAUCACUAGCCAAAUGAUGUCGAAAAAUUAUGAAAUUUAGUUUUCAAAUACUUUCAAUAGUGUAGAUCAAGUCUAACGGAGUCGAUCGUCGAUUUGAAAGCCGCAUCAUCGAAAACAACAUAGUAGCACGGAGGCCUCCGUCCUACCGAUAGUAUAUCAGCCUAGCUCUCUCUCUCUCUCUCUCUCUCUCUCUCUCUCUCUCUCCAUAUAUAUAUAUAUAUAUAUAUAUAUAUAUAUAUAUAUAUAUAUAUAUAGGCUGGGGCUACUAUACUUUUAUGAGUAUAGACACCCUUGCACUCAUAAAUUUUUAAUCAUUGAUUAAUGAGAUGUGUGGUUAGGAUGACUGGUGUCACGCCCCGACAACCCGUCACUUUGGUUGGAUUCUGGCACGCCAACAGACCGCCGAACGGACAGAGUCUCCCCUGUACAAGUGGUUCCAAACAAGAACAGUAUUCAUACAUCGAUUGCAAUAAGGAAGGUAUCAACAACAUAAAAACAACUAUGCUAUUACAAGCAUUCGCCACAAUUUUAGAUUACAUUACAUUUAUAUUUUCGUUGUCUUCCAAAUACAAUCAACUUAUUACAUUUGUUUCAUUCUUUCCUGCACCCUAAGCUAUGCCGACUCAAGGUACUUCUAUCUCUGGUCUCAAGUGGUAGGGCGCUAUCUACUGAGCUACGCCCUUUCCUCGCGCUGUCGCGCCACUCGCGUGUGGACCUAAAAAACGUGGGGUGAGAACUAUAUAAAUAGUUUCCAGUGGGUACGACCACCCAAAGGAAGAGCUCUACCCACCAGGUCCAAAGGAGGCAAAACAACAUGUUAGUCCAACAACUAUACAGAUAUCUUUAUGCAAGAAAUAAAUCAUGCUAUUGCCUCAACAAACGCGAUAAUGAAAUCAUGCAAGUAGAUCUAUUUCUACUUUCUAUCUCACUAUCCAUAGCUCCUCCAACCAGCUCCUAAGGUUUCUCUUACCUUAGCCAAGCUAAACCACCCGACUCGGUCUCGAGUCAAUCACCAGCGGAAUACCGCUCAUAUCCAGGCCUGAGGAGAGGAACCUGCCGUGUACCUCAGCCUUCAAUCCAUAUACCGAGCAGCCCGACGAAAGAGGAACCAUGCCGUGCACCCGUGGUCAGAGAUCCCUCAGUGGGAGAGGAACAUGCCAUGCACCCGCGACCGAGAGCCCCGAUAGGGAGAGGAACAUGCCGUGCACCCUAGCUCUCAUAGCUCGCGGUGGGAGAGGAACAUGCCGUGCACCCACAAUCAAAUACCAUGCAUAAGUCCCGGAAUUCCGGAAUCCACUUUUCAAGCCUCAAGGGUUAGUCACACACCCUAUGCUGUCAACCUUUCUAGGUUCAUAGUCUCAUGUCCAACCUAUGUUCAACGACACUAGAUUCAAUGACGAGAUGUCAAUGGGUAUGGAUACCCGAAAUUUUAUCCGAACUCGAACCUGAAUGAAACGGAUAUAUCCGAUGGAUAUGGAUAUGGAUUCGGAUAUGGAUUUUGAUUGUACCCAACCCGAACCUGAACCCGACCCGAACCCAAAUUUAUUUUGUAUUAUAUAUAAUAUAUAUAUAAAAAUUUGAUGUUAUAUUUGAAUUUGUAUUUUAAAAAUUUAGAUUUAAUAUAAUAUAUUUUGAAAUAUUGAAAAAAGAAAUAAUUAUUUCGGAUUCAAAUUUUCGGGUUCGGGUUCGGGUUUGGGUUUCGGAUUUUUGGUCGGGUUCGGGUUUGGAUAUGGAUUUUUGAAAAUCCGUCGGGUUCAGGUCUCGGGUUUGGAGUCGGGUUCGGGUUCGGGUUUUUAAAAAUCCACCCCGAAUUCGACCCGUUGACAUCUCUAAUUCAAUGUCCAACCUAUGUUUAAUAACACUAGGUUCAAUGCCAGUCAUGCUAUUUGUUAUCCUAGUUGUCCACACAUAUGAUCCAUAGUUUUCAUGCCACACUUGUCGAGUUCUCUACUCUUCCUAAAGUUCAUCGACCUAUGUUUACUAUCCACAUCUAGGUAUUCAUAUAUACAUAUCCUAUAUGUCCACAUACCUAUAUUUUUAUCCAAUGGUAGUCAAUACAUAGCUUAGCAUCUAUCUCAUGCAUUCAUAAUUGCCAUUAAACUAUCAUUACAUGCAUCAAUGAUAAAACCAAACUUCACUUUGACAUGGAAGCGACCUAAUCACUUUGGUGAAGCACAACCCACCUCACAAUACUUUUCGAUUGCUUGUAGACACUUGCAAUCGGGCUCUCGCGGCACAUGUCGCCAGGUUCGGCUCGAACUCACGAUCGACCACCGAACGCUCACCGAAUUCCAACUUAGAGUUGUCUGGGGCUCUUCUCUAACCUUCAAUUAGAGAACCAUAGGGUCAAUUUAGAUCAAAACCCCAAAACCCCCAAUUCUAAGCCCUAGAUUUCUCAUUUCUCCAAGUACCCUAUAAAAUUCAUGGAGCACCAUAUUUAUCUAGCUUAGAAUAGUCUAGGGAUCUAUAGAAUAUCAUUCAUAAAGGAUUUAACACAAAUCCUAAACUUUUAACCAAACGCGAACCUCAAGUCAGAAGCACGCCGCAACACCAAGUGCUCGAGGGCUCGAUCCACCGCUCCCCACGCGUUCCCGAGCUCCUUCUCCACCAAAAUCUCAAGUUUGGGAGAGAGAUCUAGAGAGAGAAAGAGAGAAGACUAAAGAGAGAAAGGAGAGCUUCUCUCUCUCUCUACCAUAUGUGUGUGUAGGUGUAUAAUGGUUAAUACAGGAAGAAUGAGGGUUCCUUUAUAAGCCCCUCCCACUAAAUUACCAAAGUGCCCUCAUUCAGGGCUACCUGCGUGUGCGAGGUCCGGACCUUGGCUCUAGGGUCCGGACCCCGUAGGUCCAAACAGCUCGAAAAUUUCAGCAUUUUUCGAAAAUGCUCAUUUCCACUCCUUGAGCCUCUAAUCCACUUCCAAUCACUCCAAGACCCUCAAAACACAUUUUUGAGCGUGUUUAAACCAUCCUCUCACUUGUACUUUGCCUGAUUUAGUUUCCGUGCCCAACUCGCACCAAAAACACUCAAAUGCUCACCGAACUUCACCGGAACUAUUCUAACCACCUUUCACGCUAGUUCCCACCGAAACUUCGUAAUUAUAGGAGUUCGAUAUACUACAACUGGAUUAUCUUCUGGGGAUUCUGCCUAUUCGCCUCGGUCCCCGCACGCAACCUACCUUCGUCGAGGCCAGUUGUACUCGGUCCUGCUCUCAACCCUGGUGGAUCGGUCUCCCCAGGUAGGUUGACCAUCCUAACCCUAUUUUUAGGUCCGGCUCCCCGGGCCUUGGGCUCGACCUUUCCCUCUUCGGUUUGCCAAGUGGUCCAGGCUAUCCAUGUGGCCUUCGGCAUGGGCCAACUGAAGGUCCGCUCCCGAAAGUUCUUGGCUUAGCCUCGGGUAGCCCACGGCAUAGUGCUGCGUUUUUUCUCACUCAAGUCUCAUGUGUCCCGCCACUAGAUGCCACGAAUCUAUUCGAACAAGACUUGUUCGGAUCGACGCUUGCUCCUACGAAUUUACUUGGGUUCGACCCGUGCAGCCCGCCCCCUACAGAUAGGGUCAAGUCCACCUAUGUUGACGUCUAGUCAGACCCGCCACGGUCCAGUAACAGGCUACACAAGGUGGAGGACUCUGCGCUUUACAGGGCGAUGCGCAGGAAAGCGUGUCUGAUUGAGGGUGAGACAUCCACGACUGGGCCUUCGACACGCAAGUGGACCAGCAAGAAAGUGAAGGCGAAAAGCCGUCUCUGCCGGGUGAAGCUCUCCGACACAGAUGCCAUGGAACUCCAAAAGUUCCUACGCGCAGAAGUCUAGGGACGAAUGUCUUCUUUGUCCGCACAAUUUUUUGGGUUUUUCGUUUCGUUUUCUUAUGUUUAGCAUCUUAAGCUGGAAUGUACGCUGUCUUAAUGACCCAGCCAAGCGUCGUUGUAUCAAGUCUGUAGUGUCUCAUCUUUUUUAUUCGACUGUCUGUUUCCAAGAAACUAAAGUGGAUUCAGUGUCCCGUUCCUUUCUCCGCUCUUGCUACAGAUCUAACUUCGACAGGUGCCACUUUAACCCGGCAGCUGGGGCCUCUGGCUGCCUGAUCAUGUGCCGGAGCUCUAAAUUUUUCUCUUGCAAUGAGGUCAUCAUGCGGGAGCACUCGCUCACCCUUAAUCUGACCUACCUAGCUAGUGGGAAGACUUUUUACCUCUCGAACAUUUUCGAGCCCAACCUGGAGUGGAAAAGAAGAUUUCUGCUCUGAACUUCUCUCUCUCCAAGGAAUCUGCCCUAACAACUGGGUCAUUUGCGAAGACUCCAACUUCACCAAAAACUAGGCUGAAAGAAAAGGAAAUCCUUGGAGCACCAAAGCCAUGGCCAUGUUCUUUGAUCUCAUUAGAAAUCUAGCAGCUAUCGACCUUCCCCUGUCCAACCAAUAUUACACUUGGUCGAAUAUGCAACGCAGACACACCCUAGCCAAACUCGACAGAUUCUCGUUGCAACGGAAUGGGAUCUUUCCUUCCUAUACUAUAAAGUCAAGGCACUCCCUCGAACCACCUCCGACCACACCCCAAUCCUCCUCACAACAGGGUCCCUUCCACGCCGCAAAGGUUUAGAUUUAAGCAGGUCUGGCUAACAAAGAAGGACUUUAUCACAAAAAUACCAAUCUGGUGGAAUGAAGUCGCUCCCAAGAACUCUGCCAUCCUCACCAUAACUGCUAAGCUCAAGCACUGCAGAGCAAGAAUUAAGGAAUAGUGCAAGAUGAAUUUUCACAGUAUUGCAAACUCCAAGAGGCGACUGCAGGAGGAAAUCCAAUCAAUAGAUCAGAUAGAGGAGCAGCUAAAUCUGCCAUAGGAAACUAUAGAUAAACGGGCUAAUCUUGAAUCGCAACUUCAAUCCAUCCUAGAAGAGGAAGAAAUACUUUGAAAAACUAAGGCCAAACAGCAAUGGCUUAAGGAAGGUGACGGCAACACAAUUUUUUCAUGUAGUGGCUGAUGGACGUAAACGCUUUAACUCGAUCAAAGCCAUAGAAGACGACACCGGGCGAGAAAUCACAAAUGAAGAACAAAAGAGAUCCUACUUCUUUCACUCUUUUAAACGCUUGUUUGGUCAGGCGGAGGAGAGACUCCCGUCUUUCGGAGAUUCGAGCGAGCUCUACCAGUCCACCAGACUGUCGAAUCUAGAUACUCUAACGACUGAGUUAACUCUGGAGGAAGUCAAGACAGCAACCUUCCAACCAGACAGCGAUAAGGCCCCCAGAUCGAACGGAUUCCUACCCCUUUUCUUUCAAACCUUCUGGGAGUCCGUCAAGGGUGAUAUCUUUAACAUUUUUGCUGAACUCCAGGAUAACAGACUGUUUACCAGUUCGCUUGAUUACUCUUACGUAUGUCUCAUCCCUAAAAAAGAAGGUGCACGUAAGGCUACCGACUUCCGACCGAUAAGUCUAAUCAAUGGAAUACAAAAGAUUAUCUCCAAAGUUCUCACCAAUAGACUCGCACCCAUUCUGUCAUCUAUUAUUACUCCAUCGCAAUCGGCUUUCCUCAAAGACCGGCUGCUAACAGACUCCUUCGUCAUUGCUUCGGAACUAAUCAAUUGGUGCUCAAAGUCUCGUAAGGAAUGCGUAAGUAUCAAGGUCGACUUCAAAAAAGCCUUCAACAACGUCAGAUGGACUUUCCUACAAAGUAUACUACGGUGGCUUGGAUUUAGUGACAAAUGGUGGUCCUGGAUUGAACAAUGUAUCUGCAAUGCCAAAAUAGCCAUCCUGGUGAAUGACACUACUACAAGGUGGCUAAAAGCUAGAAAGGGUCUUAGACAAGGGGACCCACUUUCCCCCUACUUGUUCAUCUUGGUGGUCGAUUGCUUGGCGAGGAUGACUGAAACAGCUAGGAGUAACAACCUGAUACAUGAAAUCGACCUUUUUGCCGACUGUCAGACGGUGCUAACACAAUACGCGGAUGACACGUUAUUUUUUUGCGAGCCAAGGAAAUUUAUUAUGCGGAACUUGCAGUUUCUCUGGAAAACCUUCGAAUGGACCUCCGGCCUCAGAAUUAAUAAGAAGAAAUCGGAACUAUACUACUUUGGUCCCAAUACUCGUAAAGGAGACAGGCUGGCUAAUAUCAUAGGAUAUAAAGUUGGAAAUCUACCGUUCCGUUAUCUGGGCCUUCUAUUAUACAAUAAGCAUCUUCGCAAGGAAGAUUGAAACUUGCCUAUCAACCACAUUGAAGCGAGAAUUGACGGAUCAAAAGCUAAACUACUCUCCUUUGGGGGGAGACUGACUCUUGUCAACUCAGUUCUCACCAAUGUGCCACUUUUCUACCUUUCUAUAUUUAAAGUGCCACAAUGGGUACUGCAUCGCCUUGAAGCCCUGAGAAGGGCAUUCUUUUGGAAAGGGUGCUCCAAAAUUUUCGGUGGCGCUUGUCUCGUGAGUUGGAAAACUGUUUGCAAAAGCGAGGAAGAAGGUGGGUUGGGGAUCAAAGACUUGGACACCAUGAAUCUAGCUCUCUUAACUAAAUAGUGGUGGCGCUUCGUCCAUGAGCCACACCUGCAUUGGUGCAAACUGAUCAGAACCCUCUAUUACAAAAGACGAAGGUCGCUGCACAAGGGAAGAGAUUUUAUACCUUACUCAUAAUGGUGGAAAUGUGUAAUUCGAUUCCGUGAGGUGUUCAAAUGCGGUGCAUCAUACAAGUUGGGGGACGAUAACAACAUCAGAUUGUGGUAUGACAUCUGGAUUGGCGAAACACCCCUACGCACCUUGUUUCCAGACAUCUUUGACAGUAUUCGGAAUAAGGAGGUCAAAAUAUCACAAUGCUAGAACCCUAACAGAUGGAGAUGGCGAUACAUCUGCAGAGGUUUCGGGCGUCCCAAUCAUCCGAAAACCUUGACAAUUUUCCCUGUUUAAAGAUUUACUCCUUCACUGCAGCCCUACCAACAGUCCGGACUUGCUUAAAUGGCGGUGGACCUCCAACCAUUUGUUUACAGUUAAAUCCCUUUAUAAAUUCAUUGACGACGCGGGAUUAAGAGACCCGACGAACCAUCACAUAUGGAGACUUAAAAUCAAAAUCUUCAUAUGGCUACUACUUUGCAAGAAAUUACUCACAGCUGACAGACUGCUCAAUCGCGAGAUGUACGUAGAUGGACACUGUGUCUUCUGCGCAUUUUCCAUGGAGAAUCGUGAUCACUUAUUUCGUUUUUGUGUGUUCGUCCAAUUCUUGAUUCUUAAGCUGGGAGUAUCUGUUGGGGAUUGGGAUGAUGCUCGAGACCUUUGGAGUAAUGCAUCUUUUAUCUUAGACGCCGCGAAAAGAUCGGAAGCCCUAAUCCUUCUAGCGGCAAUUUGGUGGGUUGUAUGGACGGAAAGAAACAACAUUAUCUUCAGCACGAAACUAAUGCUACCCAAGCUAUUGAGUGCAUCUUACGUCUGACGGAUUCGUGGACACAGCUUGGAUCACUGCCCCAGCUUAUUGUUCUUCCUCUUAAAAUUCUUUUUCCCUCACCUUUCUUUCUCCUCCCCCCUUUUCCUUUAUCUCUGUCUGCCACCACGAAUGACGCACCUCGCACGGGGAAUUUUUAUCUUU